CUAUCGCAAGCUACAUAUGAAAAGAACACACUUACACAUUAAUCAAUAUCGGUCAUUGAUUUAAAACCGAUCACAUUACACCUUUACUAAAUUAUCAAUUUAUCAUCUUUACCAUUAAUUUCAGAUCGGACGAUCAUAAUCAAUAAUUAUGUGAUACAUUUGGUGUGUCUCAUUUUCAACAUUGCAUAGCUAGCCUAUGACCCCACUACCCCAUAUCAUCACUCAUGUUGGCAUUAUUAGACAAGCACAUCUACCCUGAAAGUGAUUGAAGUGGAAUCCAAUGAAUAUCCAGCUUAGUAAAAGAAAUAUUAGAUGGAAAAGUAAAUAGCAAAGUGAAUUAAAUUAAAUAUAUAACAUAAACUAUUUAGAAAAGAAAGAAGAUAAGAAGAGGACACAUAAAAGUUGUACAUUUGCAUUAUUUGUUCAGAAAAUUGGGAUCUGAGCAUUUUUUGGAUUGGAAAUGAAGUUCUUGUUCCAAUGUCCUUGCUGCUCAUGCUUUUGCUUCAUGAAGCCAAAGGCUGGGAAGGCAAAGGUGGCAGGAGUCAAGGAAGUGAAAAAAGCUAAGGAAGUGAAAGAAGCUCCUAAGGAAGUGAAAGAAGCUGCUAAGGAAGAAAAGAUUGAAGAAAAGAAAGAUCAGUGACAUGUAACUCCAUUGUAAACUUUCUUUGGUUGUUUAAUUUUAAUUAUAUAUUUUCCUUUUUGGUUCUUAUAUCAAUAAUCUAAUUUAAGCAUAUAUGUGUACAAUAAUUUGUGUCUGCUUUGUGCUUCUCUGGUUGUUUUUUGAUAGUGGCCGGGAUUUGAACCCCGUAUCUUACUUAUUUUAUGCAUUGUCCCAAACAACUGAGCUAAGUUCAUGACGACAACUUAUGUUGUUUAGCAUUCACAUGCUUUUAUAUUAUUAUUUAUUAUUUAUCUGAUUAAAAAUGCACAUUAAUUUCCUUUGUAAGUUAAAGUGGAAAAUAAAUUACCAUUUCAAUCAUGCAUACUUCCUUGUGAAUGUGAUCUGCUCUAUCCUUUUCAGUUUGAUAUAUAUGCUCAUUUUAAUCAUGUUUAUAAUCUCAAAUUCACGUAGUCCACGUUCAUUUCAUAUACGUGACAUAUAUGUCAGAUUCUUCCUUCAAAAAAAAAAUAUAUAUGUCAGAUUCUUAGUGAUUUGUACUAUUUUUAACUUUUAAGAUGAUGAUAGAAAAUGAGAGAUGGAACCAAAUUGUUCACACAAUUUUCUUCUAAGAAGUAAGUAUAUUUCCCCCCUCAAAAUCUACCAUCUUCUCUUUUGUGGGAAAAAUUAUAUCACAUUUUAAUACACUAGAUCUUUUUAUAUGAUUUCUUAAAAAAAUAAAAAAACUUUUUAUAUGAUUAUGAGUAUCAUUAAGACAUUUUGUUGAAAAAAUAUAUCAAUAAAAUAAAUUUUUUAUCCUUAUUAUAACUUACAAAAUAAAACAAAACAAAAAAUACAUAUUUUAGAUAAAUUUUUAAAGCUGCCAAAAUAUGAGUUUUUAGAGUUUCAUGUACUCUAAAUUAAAAUUAAAAUUAACAAAAAAUUUAAUAAUUUUUUUUGAAAUUAUUGAAUCUUGCUCAUGCAAAUAUUAUUAGUUUUAGAAUUAGUAUUAUAGCACUAUUAUCACGGACACUAUAUUUGAGAUUUAUUAACGUUGAAAAACUUACUAAAUCACGAAAAAUAUUACUAUUUAUUUAAUAACAUUGGAACAAACAUUAUACCAUUUGUUGUCUCUAGCAACACUUUCUUGAGGAACGUGUAAAAUUGUCCCCUAAAAGUCUCUAAGGCAAUGAUUUACGAGUGUUGCCAAAAAAAAAUUCGCAACCCCUGAUAAACGUCCCCUAAAAUACUUUUGGGGAUGAUUUUGGAGCAUUGCACUCUUAUUUCGUUGUUGACAAUCAUUAAUUGUCUCCUUAGAUAUUUUUGGGGACAAUUUUAGAUUGUUGCAUAAAAAUUUCACCAACAUCAAAUUUUGUGGCACCUCCAAACUUGUUUACCAAAAAACAAAUUUCCCCUCCAUGAAAAUUGGCAUAACAGGAAGUUGAACAUACAAUCGGUAGGAGUUAGGACAAACAAGGAUUCCUCUAGCCAACACACCACGUACAUUUUUGUGGUAAAAUUUACUUUUUCUCUAUUAUAUUUAAAUAUUCCACCAUGAAAACACACCCACUGUACCAUUGCUCACAUGAUUCAAGUGGUUAAUUUAACUCUUAUAUAAAAAAAUUAAUUUAACUCUUAUUUUAAAUUAUAAUAUUUUGCAUUGUUCUUACCAACUGAGCUAUGCUCACGGGACAUAUCACAAUAUAUAUAUAUAUAUAAUAAGAAUGACUUCUUUAUAUGAGAAUCCAUUAUCAACCCUUUAGAUUAAAAUGAAUGGCUUAGAUUUAAACUUCCAAUAAAACAUCACAUGGACCCUCGCCAUCUUCUGUCCAUCUACAAGAUUGAGAAAAAACGAUUGAUUUCAUGUACAUGAGAACCGAAUCCUCUUUUCCUAAUCUCCAAGAACAAAGUCAUUUUCAUCAAUUCAAGAAGGGGGCAAUAGCACACUGAAUCGAAAAAUAUAGAUGCAUCCGAUAGACAUUAUGGUAAAAAGAGGGAUAGUAAUACAAGGGAAAUGAAACAGAAAAAAAAAUCUGCUAGCACCAGAUCUGACACCCCACCGUCGUCGAACUGUUCUCCGACGGAAAUCAAGGUGUCCCAUUGGCUAUUCCUUCCUUUGUGUGUUUUGAAUUAGAAUUUAAAUUGUUGAAUUGGACAUUGAAAAAUGAUAUUUGAACAUCCAUUUUUGUGUAACUUUUGUAACAACUUUCUCUCUCAUACUCACAUCAUAUUCUCAUUUUCUUUCUCUAUUGCUUUGGUUUCUGUACCAAGACUCACAUUUCUUUCUAUAUUUUGGUUGUCCCACAAAUUGUCAUACAAAAUGGUUGUUUAAAUAACACUCCUCUUGAACAUUAUACCUUUUCUUCGGUUGAAUAUUUGUCCAGAAGUUUCUUGGCCCCAUUGUUAUAUUUUCUUCUUUAAUGCUUCUACCGUUAGUUAUUGCAAAUUCGCAAUCAAAACUAUUUUUUUAUCUCUUUCACUUAUUCACUUUUUUCUUAAUAUGUGUGAAAUAAACGAAAGACUCAGUUAUAAAAGGACGAAUGGAGUAUCUAAGAGGAGUAACAUCUAUCUACUAUUAAUAAUGUCAGAAGUCUGACAUAUUUGUGAUCAUAGAUCACAUCUUAUGUGCAUCACAUAUUCUUCAAUAAAUAUUACUGGUUACUCUCCCAUGUUAAGUGACACAGUUGACUUUAUAACACAUACCAAUGCAUAAUUUCGAUCUUAAAUAACUUUACUAAUCUAUUAGAAAAAAUUAUAAAAAUUUGAUAUUUUAAAAAAAUUCAUCGAGAUAAAUCCAACGACAUCUUAUAUAAGUAUUAUUUAUCUUUGUAUAUUAGUAGAAAAAUAUAAUCAAAAUAUGCUAGGUUAAUAUUACACAUUUUUAAAUAUGCCAUCUACAAGAUGGAGAAAGUACUACAAAACGACACUUCUAAAUUUGUCAAUUAAGUUGCGAAAGCUUAUCCAUCAACUUAUUCAGUAGGGCAGAUGAAAAUUUAUUGGUCCCAAAAAGAAUGAUAGGGUACAGAUGUCACCAAAUAAUUUAUUUUGAAAUGCGUGCACACACAUUGACGAGUAUAUAUACAUAUAACAAAAUCAUAACAGAACACAUGAAGGAAGAGAAGAUAAGUACUAGUAUUUCACAAUUCACAUGGCAGCAAGUACUAUUUUAGACGGCACAGAAACACCUCUAUUACUGCCAACAACUCAUGAUAAUGGAAAACAAAACACAAGACCAGAAAUGGAGAAUAAAUGGUGGAACAAAAUCUUGGACAUAGAGGAAGCCAAAAUUCAACUCAUGUUUUCAUUACCAAUGAUUUUUACAAACUUAUUUUAUUACUUGAUUACAUUGGUUUCUGUCAUGCUUGUUGGUCAUCUUGGUGAGCUUCAGUUAGCUGGUGCUACUCUUGCUAAUUCUUGGUUUAGUGUCACUGGCGUAGCAGUUAUGGUAAUUAAUUUACAGCUUUUGCAUUAUUAUGUUUUGUUCAUGCACAAUGUUAUUAAAUAACUUCAACAUGAUAUGUGAUGUCUCUUUUUUUUUUUUUUUAAUAAAUAUUGAACUCUUUAUCAAAAUAAAAUUCUUGAACCCUUGUAUGUCUCCUUUUUUUUUUUUUUUAAUAAUUCUUGAACUCUUUAUCUAAUAAAUAUCAGUUAUUCAAUGACUUUAAAAAUUAAAUUUUUUUCUUAUAAUAAAGACGAAAGAAAGUAUUUGCUCUAAAAAGGCUUAAGAGGUCAGUGAUUUGUUUAGAGAUUUGAAUGAUGUUAGAAUAUUACUUCCUCGAAUCUUUAUUAUACGAAAAAAUUUACUUUUUAAAUUCAUUGAAUAACUUAUGUGUUUAAUCUAUAUCAUAAACUACAUACAUUAGUUAUUCAAUGACUUUAAAUAAUGAUUUUUUGCUUAUAGUAAAGAUCAAAUAAAGUAUAGCGUUAUCAUGCCCGCCCGGCUCCACUUAGUGGAAUAAAAGGCUUGACUUUUUUUUUUUGAUCAAAAAAGACUUGACUUAUUCAUUUUGUAGUUGUAGUAUUUACUGUACUAUAGUAUUUACUAUAUAAUGGUUGAUGUUUCACCUAUUUAGCACCAUAUUAAGUGUGAGUUUGGUUGUAUGGUGGAGAAAGUUGAUUUUGAUAGAAUUGCUUAUGUCGAAUUUAUUUUUGUCAAAAGUAAUUAUGAUUAAAAGUGAUUUGUGUUUGGAUACAUUUAUGUAAAAGUGAGGUGAACCGUAAAUUUUUCUGUGAAAAUCAUUUCUAAAAUCAAAAGCUACAAAUCCUAAUCAAUUCUACUCGUCAGCAAUCAAACAUGUGAGAAUCAAUUCUACACCUCCAAAAUCAAUUUUGGUCCCUCUAGAAGCGAAACCAAACAUAAACUAAAAAGACACCUCAUUAUGGAAUAUAAUAUUUGAGUGUCUAUAGAGAAGGGUGGCUAUCGAAUCAUAAUGAUAAAAUAAAUCAUAAUAAAUCAUUCUUGUGGGUCCUAUUUAAAAAAUCAUAAUAAAAUAAAUAAAUUGUGUUUCAAUAUAAUGAUAUAGAAUUAUUUGUGGGAUUUAUUUAGGAAUUUUUUUUUGAAGUGGUUGGAAAAAAAUGUUGCUUAUGUAAGAAUUGGUCAUUGUAAUAUGUGUAAUUUUUAUUUAAGUCAUUUAUUUCACUCAAAUUGGAGGGACUUUUUUCUCCCAUAAAAUAAACUUCAACUACACAAGAGGUGCUAGCUCAGCAGUAAGAGUUUAACCUUGUAAAUUCAAGAUACGAACUUUAAAUUUUCUUGAAGACAGCUGUAAAAUUAUUGUUAAUGUCACUUUAAUCAAACUUAUAAUUGAUAUAACCAAUGGAAUCUGAAUAUCUAAAAAUGAAGGAUUAACAUUAAAUAUUCUACAUGUUACAAGACAUAAAUGUUGUCACAAGAUUAAACUCAGUUCCUUGCCUUACUCUUUUCUUUGUCUUAGGUUGGUUUAAGUGGUGCACUAGAAACACUCUGUGGACAAGGAUUUGGUGCAAAGGAAUAUCACAUGUUGGGAAUUUAUCUACAAGGCUCUUGCAUUAUAUCUUUCAUUUUUUCAAUAUUUAUAUCCAUUAUUUGGUUCUAUACAGAACACAUUCUAGUUUUACUUCAUCAAUCUCAAGACAUUGCUAGAACAGCAGCACUCUAUAUGAAGUUUCUUAUACCAGGAUUAUUUGCAUAUAGCAUCUUGCAAAACUUGUUGAGGUUUCUACAAACACAAUCUGUAGUAAUGCCACUGGUUAUCCUUUCAGCUAUCCCAACACUGAUUCAUGUUGGAAUUGCAUAUGGAUUUGUUCAAUGGACAGGUUUGAGUUUCAUAGGUGGACCAGUUGCAACUUCUAUUUCACUAUGGAUAUCUAUGAUAUUGGUAGGUUCUUAUGUCUUGUAUGCAAAGAAGUUUGAGAAUACAUGGAGAGGAUUUUCAAAGGAAUCAUUUCAGUACUUGUUUACAAACAUUAAACUAGCUCUUCCCUCUGCAGCAAUGGUAUGGUAUGUCCCUUUUGAUGAUUGAUCUUAGAAAACAUAGUUUGCAAAAUUAUUAGGCCCGGUUUACUUUGAGCAACAUUUUCAAACCAGUUGAGUUACCCAAUCCCCCGGUCACUUGGCUUCUAGUUUGAACACUAUUAGACUUUUGUUAUUUAAUGAAAGAUGCUUAUAUUAUGAAUCUUACUAUUUUUAUUUUAUAUUAUGCAAGUUUGGAGUAUUGGGCUUUUGAAGUUUUGGUUUUCUUAGCUGGAUUAAUGCCUAACUCACAAAUAACAAUUUCAUUGAUUGCAAUAUGGUAUGGUUCUCAUAGCUUUAUAUUUCUGCUACUAAAUAAAGAGAAGAAGAUUCAUAUGAUUCACUAUUGCUAAUCUUAAAAAUAAUUGCAGUGAAAACACAGAAUUCAUUGCUUACAUGAUCACUUAUGGUCUUAGUGCAGCUGCAAGGUUAGUUGGUCUAAGUUAACAUAAUUAUUUCCUUCAUGACAUAAGCAUUAUGCACUUUAAUCUAUGUUCUUGUAAAUUUAUUGAAAAUUUUGAAACUUGAACUUUUUUAUAGCACAAGGAUUUCCAAUGAAUUGGGGGCAGGCCAUCCUGAAAAAGCUAAACAUGCAAUGAGAGUCACUCUAAAGCUAUCUGUCCUCCUUGGAUUUUGUUUUGUUUUGAUGCUUUUGUUUGGUCAUGAUAUAUGGAUUCAAAUGUUUAGUGAUAGUCCUAUUAUCAAAGAGGAGUUUGCUUCAAUAACACCUUUGCUUGCUAUUUCCAUACUACUAGAUUCUGUCCAAGGUGUCUUAUCAGGUUUGAAUUCCUCAUCUCUUUUUAACUUAAGCUUUGUCUCAGCAACAUUGUCAUUAACAAAAAAAAUCUUAUGGGUAAAAUAUGUCUUGAAUAAUGCAGGGGUAGUUAGAGGAUGUGGUUGGCAGAACUUAGUUGUUUAUGUCAACCUUGCCACUUUUUAUCUCAUUGGUUUACCAAUUUCAUAUCUCCUUGGAUUUAAGACCAAUUUGCACUAUAAGGUAUAAUUCUCAUUAUUCUCAUAUAAGUGUCACAUUUAUAUGUAAUACUUUAUCUCUUUUAAAAUAAACGUCAUUUUAAUAAAAAAAAAAAUGAAAAUAGAGUUUUUAAUAAAAUGACAAGUGUAAUAGUAAGCAUAUAUACACACAUAAAUUGUUCAAUGAAUCUGAAAAGAGAAUUUUUUUUAUUGAUUAGAUACAUUAGUUGUUCAAUGAACUUAAAAAAAGAAUUUUUGCUUAUAAUAGUGACAAGAGGAUGUAAAUACUAUUUUAUCAUAAAAAAUAAUUCAAUUAAGGAUGCUUGUGUUGAUAUCAAGAAGAAUGAUUUUAAUUUUGCAUUAUUUUGUUUAAUCAUUGUGUUUCUUUUUAAUGUGGUUUAUGAUAUAGGGUUUAUGGAUUGGUCUGAUUUGUGGGCUGGUGUGUCAAAUUGGGACACUCUUACUUUUGACAAGGCAUGCCAAAUGGACUAAACUUAAUCUCUCAGGGGACAAAGAUAAAGACCAACCUAUUGUUGUUUAACAACUGACUGUAGGACUGAAUAUGUAUGAUGUGUUUGGAACCAAGUGACAGAUCAUAUAAAUGCGUGGACGCAAAUAUAGGAUGAAAAUAUGAUAGCAACUUGUAAUAAACAUGAAUUUUGUAUCUGAAAAUGUUUCUUUCUCUUUUUAUAUGAAAACACCAUUGAGAACACUUUUUAUUUUUUAUUUUUUUUAAAACAAAAAUAUAAUAAAUAAAAAUAAAGAGAUACAAAGACUGGGGACAUAUAACCUGAUCUAGAUACAACCCAAAUGAGAAUAAUACAAUACAAUAUAAACUAGUUAGCCCUACCCUAAUUAAUCUUAAUAGAAAGAACCCUCAUCACGAACGCAACCCAGCAUGCCCGCGUACGAGCACGAAAUCAGAUUACAAAAAAAAAAUGUGAAGAGUGGACAACAAUAGAAUCAAAAAAGGUUUUGAAUUGGCGAAUGGAUCGACCGCCAACACGGUAUCCAAAUCCACGUACCAGUGAUCCCCUGAACAAAGCAGCAGGUAUAAUAGCCCUUUCAAACUUAACAGUCCGAUAACAAUCACAAUGACUGAGAUCGAUUAGAGGACAGUACCAGAAAAGGUAAACCAUUGAGAACACAUAUUGUUGCAAAACAGAAAUAUAUAUCAGGAAUUUAUUCUUGUCAUCUCAAUGUAUAUUUCUAGACAAGUGUAUACAUAGAUUAACAUUUUAACAUUAGUUUAACAUUUUAACUAGUUAUUUAUUUCUUCCCUUAAAAAAGGCUAGUUAAAUCUUAACUUGUUAACUAGUGCUUCAGGGGCACUGGUUAAGAAACUAAAAUGGAAAAGAAAAGAUAUGAUUUGUAUUGAAAAGAACAAUAUUUCAACUUAAAAAAAAAUAGAAUACACAAUUUUCAAGAUUUUUUUUUCCUUUUUUAACUCCUAUCUGAGGGCACCGGUUAACAUUUCUCAAUCUUAAUUCAUUUGCAACGAUUGAAAGAAUUUCCAAAAUUAAAUUAGAAGAUUUUACAUAGUUUUGGCAACUUUUUGCAUAAAUCUGAUGUAGGAGGGUUUCCUUAGUAUUUACUAUUUCAUUGUUUCAGCCUAAUUUUAUUAUUUGUUUGUUUUGUUUUCAAUUUUUUAUUUUUGGUCUAUUAGGGGUUGUUAUUUUCCUAUUUAAGCUUAACAAUUGUAGUCUAAGAGACAACUUAUAUUCAUUCAAUAAUAUUUUAGAGAGUUUUCUCAAUUUCUAGUGGAUUCCAGAACCCUAUUUUCAAAAGUUUGUCGCUUGCAAACUUGUUCUUUUUCAAUUUAGGUUUAGCGCUUGCUAGCCUAAGCUUCCGUACUACGUCAGUUGGUAUCAGAGCAGGUUUCUCCUGUUCUUUUCCUAACGUGAUCAGCCAUGAGAGAUCAACAGAUGACGGGGGUAGAGUUUGUCGGCAUAACCGCGAAUCAUAGUUGACGACAACAACAACAGAAACAACUGAACAGGGGAGGAGGACAAUUUUCGAUUAUUGGGGUUCGUAAUAACAACCAUACUAUUGUUACGUACCGAAAAUCAGAACAUAUCCGUGGAUCUGAUUUGGAAUACUAUGAGCGUAGAUAUUACAACAAGUUGAAUGUUGAUUACUACAAGUUUAAAAUCUCUGAUUCGAUAUAUCGUUAUCCAUUUUGUUGCAACAAAGAUUACUCCUUGACCAACCUUUUGAGACAUGCUUCCAGAAUGGCAGGUAACUCGCGUAAGACGAUUAAAGAUAUUGUUAAACAUUUUAUUUUGAUAACGUACUCCCUCCGUUUUUUAAUAUAAGCAAAAUUGAUUUUUUAGGUUUAUUUAUUUAACGAUGUAUGUGGUCCAUAUUAUAAACCACAUACAUCAUUAAAUGAAUGAAUCUAAAAAGUCAAUUUUUCUAUAUAUUUAAAGACGGAGGGAGUAUAUUCAAAGGUAUCUUAAUGUUUAAGUCGAUCAAACAUUUAGCAUCAUCAAUAAUGACACAAAUAAACAAUGCAUCUGUAGUUGAAAAUAAUCGAAUUAUCAAGGAUUCAGAGUUUUUCAGAUACUAACUUAUGUGAAUCAACAUCGGUGUCUCCUUCUUUGGUGUUUGAACUUCAUUAUAAUAAUGCUGAAAGAAGUCGCCACGUAGUGGAUGACUCGGUUGAUGCAGGGGACAUGAAAAAGUCACCAUUGUUGGAUGCUUUGGUUCCAUCCUCAGACUUGACAAACAAAAUAGAUGUUGGCAAUAUUGAAAGAAGUAAUUAUGAAAAUCCAAUAUUUAAUACAGUACCAGAGAUGCAAUCAAUUCAGAUGGCUAGUGACGGGGAAAAUAUUUCAAGAACGGAGCUUUUCUAGUUUUUGGUGUUGCUUGCUUGCCUCAUCCCUCUGAAACACUCGAAAGAAAACCAAGCAAGCCAAUGAGGUCUCAUAAAUUCGAUAUACAUUAUUCAAUACCCAAAUGUCUAUCUGAUGUUGCUUUUGCAUCAAAUGACUCAAGGAUAUUUGGUUCAUAUACGCAUGGUACAAUUAACGUUUGGAUUAGAAAAGUAAAGAGUCUACCUUGCCUCGAACUAACAUCUGCUUCAUUUUGUACCAUUAACAACAUCCAAUUAGAUGCAGAAAAUAAGAUUAUUUAUGGUGCUAGGAGGCAUGGGAUCGUGUAUGUGUGGGAUAUUCGCGGUGGAAGAGCAUCUACUACAUUCCUUCAAGGGCAUAAAGGUAACUGCUGUAUUUUCGAAAGCAAACCGUCUUUGCAUUCCACUCAAUGGGAUUCAGGAGGGUGGUCUCUUGUUUAUUAGAGGAGUCGACAUGAAUGAGAAGCUCUUUAUUAGAAUAAGAACCGGGGUCGAGUUCUUCAGAGGUGGAGGAGACUGAUGUAGAAGGGUUUCCUUAGUAUUUUAUUAUUUCAGCCUAAUUUAUUAUUUGUUUGUUUUGUUUUCGGUUUAUGAUUUUUGGACCAUUAGGGGUUUGUUAUUUCCCUAUUUUAAGCUUAACAAUUGUUGUUUAAGAGACAACUUUUAUUCAUUCAAUAAUAUUUUAGAGGAUUUUCUCAAUUUCUGGUAGAUUUCAUAACCCGAUUUUCAUAAUUUUGUCGCUUACAAACUUAUUCUUUUUCAAUCUAGAUUUAGCGCUUUCUAACGAAUCCUGCAUUUGAUCCGUCCACAUUUGAAAAGACAACCCAUUUGCCACCCCAUCAUAUUCUUUAUAGCCAAUAUUUUCGAGAACUUCAUGUAUGGCAGUCAAGUCCUUUGUUGAACAUGCACCGCUAAGUGGGGACAAAGAAACAGCAAUAGUAGCACUAUGUUGGAUACUCAUCAAUGAGUGGGAAGGCACCCCUGUUUCUUUUUGAAGAGGAGCCAAAGCAACCACUAAAAGACUUUGUAUUAGGCUGUUUUCUAGGUUCAUACUGCAAACAACGAGAUGCCAAUCACACCAAUUAGGUUCCACCGUCAUCAGAAAAUUGUCCUUCCAGACAAGAAUCUGUGAGCAUUUGAUGAUGUCAGUCGUGAAUCAAAUCAAGGGCAUUAAUCUUCUCCAUAUUACUACAGAUUCAUCGUUUAUUUCAGUUAUGUCAUUAUUGAUGAUGCUAAAUGUUUCAUCGACUUUAACAUUAAGAUGCUUUUGAAUAUACGUUAUCAAAACACAAUAUUUAACAAUAUCCUUAAUCGUCUUACACGAGGAGUAAUCUUUGUUAUAGCAAAACGGACAACGAUAUAUCGAAUCAGAGAUUUUAAACUCGUAGUAAUCAUCCUUCAACUUGUUGUAAUAUUUACGCUCAUAGUAUUCCAAAAUUAGAUUCACGAGUAUGUUCUGAUUUUCGGUACGUAACAAUAGUAUGAUUGUUAUUACGAACCCUAAUAACCAGAAUUGGUCAUCCUCCUCUGUUCGGGUUGUUUCUGUUGCUGAUGUUGCUCUUGUUGUUGUUGGUGUUGUUGUAGAACAUUCAUCUAUAUAAGUAGUUCUUCAACAUUCAUCUAAGUAGAACAAUUGAUAUAUUUAGAAGCGCAAGAGACAAGGCGAGCAAUACUUGAAAUAUUAAGCAAUAUUGAAAUCAGGGCCGGCCCUAGGCCAUAGGUCGGGGUGCGACGGCCUAGGGCCCUUGCCGAUAGGGAGCCUAAAAAAUUAUGAAGGGUGUGUAUAUAAAAAUAUUUUGUUUAUUUGGGAUAUAUAUAUAUAUAUAUAUAUAUAUAUAUAUAACAAAUUUCACGUAAAGGCCACAAACAUUGAUAUGGUGAAGGGAUGGACUAAAGUAUGUUAAUGUUUUUGGUCUUUUUGCGUGAAUUGCUAUUUGUACCCAUGUAUAGCACAAAGAUUUCUAUAUACGUCUUUCCUAUGUUUUUUUUUUUUGUUCUUAAUAAUGUACCAAAAAAUUGUCAUCGUAGAAAUUAGGGAUAUUUUUUUGGGCCCUUUGUUCCUAAUAAUGUGCUUCACUAAUAUUAAAAAUAUUGGUGAUAUUUAUUAUCCAAUAAAUUAUGAUAAUUUUCAUAACAAAACAAAUUAUAUUUUAGUUGAAAAUAUGGUUGCUCACUCUAUAGCUAGAGCAUCCCUAUCUCACCCUAGCCCCUAUAUCUUUGAUGAUGUACCACAUAUUUGUAUUCUUUAAUUAUUAAUGAAAUGGCUUAAGCUUGUCUUUGCUCAACAAAAAAAAAAUAAAAAUCAUAACAAUGACUAACAAAUUUUAUGAUGUAUUAUGCAAGGCGUCCUUUUCUCAUAUUAUGCCUAAAACCUCUAAAAUUUUAUGAACGGUCCUGAUUAAAAUCUGUUUGAGAGAAACAAACAUGCUAAGUUAGAAAUAAAUUCACAAGUUAUAUUCAUUUCAUAUACUUCCCACCCAAAGAUUAUACACUUUUACUAAGCUAUAAAUUGUAUCAUCCUCUCUGUGAGAGUAAAUUAUGUACUACACCAAACACUUAUACCUUAUUAUUGUUGUAACUCCUAAAAGGGCCAAGUUGUUGAUGGAGUUUCGAAAGACAUAGAGACUUAGUUUAGUCAAAUCAUUGUAGUGAAAAAUCUAAGGUAUUAUAGAAUAAAAACAAGGAUAUACCUUAGUGAUUGUAACCGAUUCCAAUUUUAAUGGAUUAAGUCUUCGACUAUGUUGAGGCGAAAUUUCUCUAUAAUGGGAGGACUAAAGUAACUAUUGGAGUGAACAAGGAUAAACAUAUUGAUGAUAUUAUUGUUAUGGUGUGUUACUCAGAUCUCAAUAAAAUGAUUGUAUGAUCUCAUCUAAACAAAUAAUUUGUUUGUGAUCUACCAAAUAACAUGCCUCUAAGGUAAUAGAAUAACACACAUCUCUUUUAAAAAUUGGACAUCCACCAAAAUAUCAUAACGAAAAAUGAGGUUCAUACUGAAGAAGGUCAUACCGAAAUCUCCGAGUUUAGAGCAUAGAUCCUCUCCAUUUCAGAAAUGAACAUCCUUAUUACUAUAGUUUUAGUGUAUAAAUAUUUAAUUAAUGUCAUUUUUUUGACAAAAAUAAACGAUAUUCAUUCAUUCAAUGUAGAUGUCUAGCCUAUAUUAAUACUUCAUCCGUUUUAAAAGAGUGUUGUUUUACUAAAAAAAAAUUGUUUUGAAAUAAUAUCAUUUUUAAUUUUCAAUGUAAUAAUUUUUUUCUUUUCAAUUAAUACUAUAUACACUACUUUCAAUGUAUUAUUUUUUCUUUAAUGAAAAACAAACCAAUAGUUGAUUAUGAUAAUUUGGUAAAAUAACAUCUCUCUUUCUUUUAAUUAAGACAUUUUUUAAUAUGUGUGUAAAAUUCUUAAACGACAUUCAUUUUAAAACGGAUGGAGUAGAAAAAUGUUCUCUCCCAACAAGUUUUGUUCACUCCCAACCAAACUUUUGAAAAUGUUCCCACGUAAAUCACUACAAGAAACAUUACCUUUUGCCAGGGGCAAAACCCUUGUCAAAAGGUCAGAAUCCCUGGGAAAAGGGACGUUUGUGAGGGAAAUUCCCAGGGGCGGAAGCAAUGGCAAAAGCGCUCGUCGCAAACAUUUUGCCAAGGGUUACACCCCUGGGAGAAAAACGAGGGGCUCAACCCCUGGUAUAUGGCGUGGCUUUAUUCCUGUCAUAACCCUUGGCAAAAUCCCUCACUUUUUGUUGCUGUGCAGUCUGCUCUCUUCCGACACACUGUCGCGCUUCACACUUCUGACUGACUGAUGGAAGGUCAAAUCAGGUCAGGGAAAAAACCAAGGACUUGCGAGGGGUUUAACCCCUGGCAAAAUGUAUAUUAUUUUUUAAAAUAAAAAUGUAUUCUUUUUAAAACCGAAUUUUUUAUUAAUUAAUUAAUAAUUUUACAAUAGUUUUAAUUAAUAAAAUGAAUUUAAAUAAAUUUAAAUAAAUUAAAAAUUCGAUUUUUUUUAAAAGUUGUUUUUCAAAUACAAUUAAAUGGUUCAAAAAUCAUUUUAAUUAAUAAAAUAUAUUUUAAAAAAAUAUAAAAUUAUUUUUAAAACACAAUUAAAUGCAUAUAAAUAAAGCAAUAUCACACAUACACUACUAUAAAGCUUAGUGUUUGACCAUUUUUUUUCUUUUACAUUCUACUAUAACUAUAAAUUAAUAUACGUAUAAUAAACAAAUCUACCUAGAAAUAAGAUAUUGAACAUGUAUAUCUUCCAAACAAAAUCAUCAUACAUAUUUAUUACUAACCAUCAAAACAUAUAUAUUUUCUACAAAUAAUUUCAUUUAACAACAUAUUUCCAAAAAACAAUAACAUAUACAUAUUAUAUGUAAAUACAUGCAUUUAAAAUUCGAAAUCAUAAAUUAAAAUAACAGAAUUAAUAAUAUAUAUUUUUUCUCUAAUUGCAGUAUUUUUCACUACCAUAAAAAUAAUUUAUUACCUAAAAUCCGUAAUAGAUUUGCAGGAAACAAAAAAAACAGAUCUACCAUGCAAAUAAUUAUAACAUCAUAUACAUAAAAAAAUAAACAAUAUCAUAUAUUUAAAAACAAUAACAAAUUCAAAAAAAAUAUAUACAACAAUCAGCAUGUAUAACAACAACAAUAUUUUGAAGUAGAGAAACUAAUAACUUGUUGAGACUUAACAAAUAACAGAUCUAGAGAACAAGCUGCUUAGCAAGGAUCUACACAAGAGGUGGUAUAACUUUGACACUGAUACAAAUGAAAUUAAAAAUAUUAGUGGAGUAGUAACAAAAAAUAGAAACAUGAAAAUAUAAGUUAAAAGAGUAUUAACAAAUUUAAGAGGUUUAGUGCUGCUGGAGAAGAGUAGUUUAUAUAAUAUAAUGAGUUGAAUUUUUUUUCUAAGUGUUAACUGCAUAUGAGAGCACCGAUGCAUGCUUAUAUAGGGAGAGAGAAAAGCCAGGGGUACUACGACGGAAUCCCCCCUCUCAUUUUGCAAUCAUAGGUUAGGCAUAGGUAGCUCAGAACGGUCAUAUUUCUCAGAGAAAAAGCCAGGGAUUUCAUGCAAAAAACCACGGCCUAAACCCCUCACACGUCAGCUUUAUCAGCUUUUUGCAGGCACCGGUCAACUCAUCUGCAUUUUGCAGAGAUUCAUGUCAGUCCGACGGGCUGUCCGUCGCAGAAGCCCUGGGUUAUGGCCUGCAAUGGGCUGACAGUCUGCAUUCUUGUCUCCCACUUUGAAUUAAAAAGUGGCGCCAAAAAAAAACCAGGGAUUGUCUACAUAAAACGACGAGUUUGGCCCUGGUUUUCUUCAUAGGGUCCUACGUCUUUUUCCCAGGGGUUGUCCUUGGCAUUUUCCGUGGUAUAUUUACCAGGGGUUUUAAAACCCUGUCAAAAUCCCUGGCAAAAGGUAAUGUUUCUUGUAGUGAAUUAACUCACGCAAGUGUUAAACUCAACUUAAUUAAGUCACACUGAAAUACAACCUACUAACUUAUAACUUAAGUGACACUAAAAACUCACAUUGAACCCCAAUAUGAGCUAACUCAAGCUGGUUUUCUUUCUCAUUUUUCCCAUGAAAAUCUUGCUCAUUUAAUUAUUUAAUAUGUUUAAUAUAUUGCUGCUGAUAUGAUUGUGCGAUAGGUUUAAUGCAAAGUAGAAGGUAUCCAGCAUGACCCAUACCAUGAUGCUAGCAGUAGUACAUACGUUUGUGGUUAGGACAGCAAGAGAUACAAUGGUCCCAUACACUCAUUUAAACCAUUAUAAACAUCAGAGGAGCAAGAUUUUCAUGUGAAAAGUGACAAAGAAAACCAACGUGAGUUAACUCUAAUUUACACUGGCCUUCAACGUGAUUUAAGUCACGCAACGUGAAUUAGCCUCAAAAUGAAAAACUAUUAUAAUUAAUAGCUUUUUCAAAUUAUAUUAGUAAACAAACAAAAAUAGCUUUAGAUUUUUUUUUUGAAGGAUAAUUUUUUUUUUUAAAUCUCUAAAAAAAUCUUUAUAUUCUUUUAACUCAAAAUCUAUUUUUUUUAAAGCUGAAACAAAUGCACCCUUAAUCUUUAUGUACAUAUGAUAUAAUUUUUUGGGUUAGGGUAACAAGUGUCCUAGGACACUUGUUAAGGAUUCAAAAAAGGAAAUGAUUUAUAAAUCUUAUGUAAUAAAAGUUUCUUUUUAAAAUAUGAAUACAUUGAAUAUACAACUCUCAAAAAAAAUAAAAUUCUUUUAGCUUCUAAACGGGCAUUUGUUAGCAUUUCCUUAAUUUUUUUACAUAUACAUUCAAUCAAAUUACUUCGUUAUGCAUUUUUAUAAGUUAGUUUCCGAAAUGUUUAGACAUAUUUUCAUUUAGUGUGAUUUAGUGAGAUGCAUGUGUAGAAACAUUUUACACUAUCAAUUUAAAUUCUAUUAAACAUAUGUUAUUGUAAUGAGUUUUAGGGAUAAUUUAUCCCUAGAGCUCGUUUACAUCUUUAACGCAUUUCUUCUUCAACCAUUUGCCCCAUUUUUCUUCCAUUAAAAAACUUGUAAAGUAUUUGAGAUUGCAAAUUGCCUCAAAUGCCUCCAAGUUGGACACUUUCAUUACCUCAUAUUUCGUAUUGAAAUUGUAUUCAAAUCUUUCAUUAUCAAGAUGUUUGGUUGAUGUGUAUAUACGUGGCUGUACUCUUCCAUUCUUUAAGUUGGAGUGAGAUUGGAGGUCAUUUAACAAAUCCUUUUUCACCCAUUCUUUUUCCUUCUAUUUUUUGUCAUGACAAUCAUUCGGUCCAAUUUAUUUUUGUCAUGACUAAAAAUUUUGUUUUUAUUAAAAAAAACAUUCCUUGAUUUUUGUCGUAAGCUAUAGCAAAACUUGUAUUUUUCUGAGAAAAAAAAAAUGAUAGGUUGACACCCUGUUUUAUGUACCACUCAUAUACACUUCUGUAUGGCAAAGAUAUUUUAGUCAUUUCAUUUUACACCAUCACUAUUUUUUGGAUGAGUUUCACUAUUUUUGUCACACGUCACAAUUGUAUGUACAUGUCAAGGUGUGUAUGCAUCUAAGAUGAUCUAUCUAUGAACGCUCUUUUAAAAAAUAAGAUAUUGUCUCCAAUUUGUACAACUCAAUAUACUAUAAAUAAUAAUGAAUAAUAAAGAAUCAUUACUUUUUACCAAAAAUAAAAGAAAAAAGAAUCAUUACAAAACUCGUGAUGUGUAACCGCCACCAAACAUGUUGAAUCACACAGUGACGUGUGUGCGUGCCUAUAUACACACACACAAAUGAAGAGGAAGAGAAGCUAAGAGUAAGAUUUUGUCAACAAAUAAAAAAUCCGAAGAGUAAGAAAGUUCACAUGGCGGCAAGUAUCAUUUCAGAUGGCACAGAAGCACCUUUAUUAGCAGAUGAUCAUGCACAAAUAGAGAAAUGGUGGAACAAAAUCUUGGACAUAGAGGAAGCCAAAAUUCAACUCAUGUUUUCAUUACCAAUGAUUUUUACAAACUUAUUUUAUUACUUGAUCACUUUGGUUUCUGUCAUGCUUGUUGGUCAUCUUGGUGAGCUUCAGUUAGCUGGUGCUACUCUUGCUAAUUCUUGGUUUAGUGUCACUGGCGUAGCAGUUAUGGUAAUUAAUUUACUAUUUUUCAUUAUUAUAUUUUGUUCAUUUCCAUAGAUGUUCAUAUGAAAAAUUCUUCUUGUGUGUGUUCAUUGAUUAGACACGGUCAAUCAAAAACAUGAGGUACAAUGUUAUUUAAUUAUAACUUCUUGUGAAAGUUAUGUCUCUUUCUUUAUUAUUUUAAAAAAUGUAGAACUCUUGAUCAAAAUAAAAAUUCUUGAACCCUUAUUGAUUAAUUUAUAUCCAAUGAAUAUACAUUCUUAUGUAUGAAUAACUAGUCAAAUGUAAAUUUAUAUGUAUGUUUGUAUAUAUGACAGAAAAUCAGAAAUUUCUUUUUUUUAUUUAUAUGUAUUCAAGUCAAUGGUUUGUUUAGAAAUCUGAUUGAUGCUAGAAUAUUAGUAUACGAGGUUUGACUUUAUUACUUUUGAUUGCUUGCAACAACUUCUCCUCUGAAAGCACCAACUGUGACAGAAUAAAUCAAUUAAAGUAAAUUUGGAAACGCACCAAUUUAGAUAAAAUUUUAAAAAGUACUUUUUUGUUCAUAGUUUUAUAAAUUAGAUGAAGGAAAAGAAAUAUUAAAAAGGGGUAUAAGGUUGGCAAGGGAUAAGGUGAUGGAGGGUUCUAUCUCUAUUCUUAACAAUUUUUUUAUUGACAAAUGUUAGUUUCUAGGCAUAGGACCCGGGACCUCCUCCUUCAACGUCCCUUAGCUCAUCAACCUAGCUCCCUACUCGGAACAAUAUACUCUGAACAUAAUGCUAAAAUGUCAACCAUCGUUUCUAAAUUCUAUAUUCAGAACUGGAUUUUGGCUUCAUUUACCAUGUGCUUAGAUCAAUGUGAGUGCAUGUUUAACAUCAUAAUCACGGUCUCAAAGCUUGUUCAACUGAAUACAACCUGAUUGAAUUGCCUUACUACAGUAUAUCCACUAACAUAAGCACAUGUCUGACUGUUUGAGAGAGUUUAUGGAAAGCUUAUCAAAUGUUCAUAUAUUGUUUUCAACUUAUUAUUAAUAUAAGCUCUUCAAGAUAGCUUAUGAACACAGUUUAACUUUGCUUUAUCUUUUGUUAUAGAAAUAGUGAUGAUAAAUGUUAUGCUAUAAACGCUUGUUUAUCCAAACACACCUAAAUGUUGUCACAAGAUUAAACUCUAUGCUCUUUGCUUUGUUCUUCUGUCUUAGGUUGGUUUAAGUGGUGCAUUAGAAACACUCUGCGGACAAGGAUUUGGCGCAAAAGAAUAUCACAUGUUGGGAAUUUAUCUACAAGGCUCUUGCAUUAUAUCUUUCAUUUUUUCAAUAUUUAUAUCCAUUAUUUGGUUCUAUACAGAACACAUUCUAGUGUUACUUCAUCAAUCUCAAGACAUUGCUAGAACAGCUGCACUCUAUAUGAAGUUUCUUAUACCAGGAUUAUUUGCAUAUAGCAUCUUGCAAAACUUGUUGAGGUUUCUACAAACACAAUCUGUAGUAAUGCCACUGGUUAUCCUUUCAGCUAUCCCAACACUGAUUCAUGUUGGAAUUGCAUAUGGAUUUGUUCAAUGGACAGGUCUGAAUUUCAUAGGUGGACCGGUUGCCACUUCUAUUUCACUCUGGAUAUCGAUGAUAAUGUUAGGAUUUUAUGUAAUGUAUGCAAAGAAGUUUAAGAAUACAUGGAGAGGAUUCUCCAUGCAAUCAUUUGAUUACCUGUUUGCAAACAUGAAACUAGCUUUGCCUUCUGCUGCAAUGGUAUGGUAUGAGCUUCUAUACGCCUCUCACUUUAUUUAACCUUUUGGUGAUUGAUCUUACAAAACCUAGUUUUCUAAAGGCUUAUUGAUGUGUUUAGCCCUUGCAAUUAGGCGGCAUUUAAAAAUUCGUCCCUGUAAUUGCUAAUCCUGGCAUUUUAACCCUGCAAUUGUUAAUCGUUUAAAAUUUGGUCCUUGGACCAAAUUAAUCACUGCCACGUCACUAAUUUGAUGACGUGGCAAUCACUGUCACACAUGAAAUUCCAAUUUUGCCCUUAAGAAGAGGACAAAAUAUUGAAGAAAGAAUUGGAAACCCAGGGGUAAAUUUGGAAUUUCAUGUGGCGUGGCAGUGAUUAAGUGGGGAGAGGGACGAAAUUAUAAAUGAUUAACAAUUGCAGGGUUAAAAUGCCAGGAUUAGCAAUUACAGGGACGAAUUUUUAAAUGCCGCCUAAUUGCAAGGGCUAAACACAUCAAUAAGCCUUUUCUAAAAUAGGUUUGAAUAUGUUUUUGUCCUCUACAAGUACAUCAUUUUUUUCUUUUAUAGCCUUUAAGAUUUUUGUUUGUUUUAUUUUAAUCUGUGUAAAAUUUGUUUAUGUUUGUUGUCCAUGUAAUAUGUGUAUAGUAUUCAUUUUGGUCCUCAUGUAGACCAUAUUGGAGUGACUAAAAUCAAAACCACUGGAUAUUACAAGGAUCAGUUUCAACGUGAACAAAUAUUUUAGGGACUAAAACAAAACAACAAGGACCAAAAUCAAAAAUCGAUAUAUUUGCGUAGACCAAAAACAUAUUAGCUUCUAGUUUGAACACUAUCAGACUUUUGUUGCUGUUUAAUGUAAGAUCCUUAAUAUAUUAUGAAUCUUACUAUAUUGUUUUAUGUUAUGCAAGUUUGGAGUAUUGGGCUUUUGAAGUUUUAGUUUUCUUAGCUGGAUUAAUGCCUGACUCACAAAUAACAACUUCAUUGAUUGCAAUAUGGUAUGGUUCUCAUAGCUUUAUAUUUCUGUUACUAAAAUGAAUAGAAGAAAUAUUCCCUAAUGAUAUUCUUCAAAACAACCAUGCAGUGCGAACACAGAAUUCAUUGCUUACAUGAUCACUUAUGGUCUUAGUGCAGCUGCAAGGUUAGUCGGUCUACUUUAACACACUCUUUCGCGGCAUUGUUGCAUAAAUCCUUUUCGACCUGGAUUUCCUAUAGUCUAAGAAAUCGCGCUGUCAAGAUAUCUCAAUCGUUAGAUAAAGAUCGAUGACUCAUAUGAGACAUUAAAUUUUUAUCCAACUGUCGAGAUCCAUGACAAAGUGAUUGUAUGUACAGACAGUCCAAUUUCCUUCAUAGGGGCAAUUUUAUUUGACUUGUCUUCUGACAUAAGCGCUUUUUUAAUCUACAUACUUGUACAUGUAUUGAAAGAUUGAAACUUGAACUUUUAUAGCACAAGAGUUUCCAAUGAAUUGGGAGCAGGCCAACAAGAAAGAGCAAAACAUGCAAUGGGAGUCACUUUAAAGCUCUCUCUCCUCCUUGGUUUAUGUUUUGUUUUGAUGCUUGUAUUUGGUCAUGAUAUAUGGAUUCAGCUUUUUAGUGAUAGUCCCAUUAUCAAAAAGGAGUUUGCUUCAGUGACACCCUUGCUUGCUAUUUCCAUACUACUUGAUUCUGUCCAAGGUGUCUUAUCAGGUUUAAAUUCCUCAUCUCUUUUAGGUUAAGCUUUCUCUACAAGAUGAUUAUCAUUAACAAAAACAACUUAGGGGUAACAAUGUGUUAAAUAAUGCAGGGGUGGCUAGAGGAUGUGGUUGGCAGCACUUAGCUGUUUAUGUCAACCUUGCAACUUUUUAUCUCAUUGGUUUACCAAUUUCAUGUCUCCUUGGAUUUAAGACCAAUUUGCAGUAUAAGGUAAAAUUCUGUCUCGUUUCAUAUUAAGUGUCACAUUUGUAAUAUUUGUUUGUCUCAUUAUUUAUCAUUUUAGAAAAUCAUUAAAGUAUUUUUUUUUUUCCAUUAGUAUACCCCUACUUAUUAAACCGAAACCCUAGAUGUCCUCGUGAGCUUAGCUCAGUUGAUAUGGACAAUGCAUAAUAUAUGCAAGGUCCGGAGUUCGAACUCCGGCCACCACCAAAAAACGGAAACGCUAGAUUAAGCGAAUGCGUAAUCAUGAUAGGGUUCACGAAUAUGUGACAGGCUUCAUCAAAAAAGAAUAUAAGUACAGCACCCCAUGAUUUCCGGUCAGACAAAAAUUUAAUUGGCCGCCAACCUGUUUUUUGCAACUGUAUCAUAAUAAAUUUCUUCUAGAUUUAUAGCAUUGCACUUUACUAUAUUAAUAAGGUUACUUUAGUAAAUAAAUCUUAAUUUAUCAUAGAAAUUAUCAUAGUUAAUGGUUUUCUUAAGCAGUGUGCAUAAACUUAAAUAACAGAUAUAAUGUAAGAGGGAGUAAUGUAGUUAUUAUUUCACAGAAUCAGUGUAAUUAUGUUUGUGUUGAUAUCAAGAAGAAUCGUCUUGGUUUUUCAUCCAUUUGUUUCACCAUUGUUUUUCUUUUGAAUGUUUUAUGAUAUAGGGUUUAUGGAUUGGUCUGAUAUGUGGAUUGGUAUGUCAAACUGGGGCACUCUUGCUUUUGACAAGGCAUGUCAAAUGGACUAAACUGAAUCUCUCGGGCGACAAAGAUAAAGGCCAACCAAUUGUUGUUUAACAACUUAAUGCCUGCCAAUUAGGACUAUAUAAGUUUGUGUUUGGAACCACCGUGGCAGCUCAUUUAGAUGCACGGUGUGAGCGAAACAAUAUAACUUGGAGUUUCAGGCUCAGCGAGUGGCAAAGACUCUUCGAAUGUGGAGUUUCUAUCUAAAAAUGUUUCUUGCUCUUUUACAUUUAAUGAAAAUGAAAACACUAAUUUUUUUAAGACGUCUUGGUGAGUUGCAUACAUAAAUAUUCAUUAUGUAACAAAGUUUUCUACAAGAUGAUUUCUAUUCUGGAGUUUGACAGAAGUUCUUAUUGUAGCAAGCAUACUCUUUAAGGAUUCUCCCCUGUCAUACUAAUUUAUCAUUUAUCAUUUAUGACUUCCAUUUAUGAUUCAUUUUUUAAGUUUGGUUUGUUGAUUUUAUUCAAGUUUGUAAAAAGGCUAUGAAUUUUCAUUUAUCUAAACUCUCAUAUCAAGUUUUUUAAUGGGAAGUUAAUAUAGUUGUCCAUGAUGAGCUUGUCAAGCCCGUCAUAUAUAAUUUUAAGGAUCUUGUUAACACACUUUCAAGAAUUCAAAAUAAGACAUUGUUUAUUUAAAAAGUUAAAUACUUUUUUUUUUUGGUCAAGUAGCCUAGUGGCUAGAGAAAUUCACCUUAAAGAUGAAUAAGUAGGGUGUUCGGAGUUCGAACCCCGACCCCUACACACAUUGUGCAUUAUCCCUUGCCAAAUGAGCUAAGCUCAUUCUCGAAAGUAUUGAAUAUAUCAAAUUUUAUAUAAAAAAAAUAAAAAAUUACUGUUUAAAUAGUUAAAGAAUAUAUAAAAGCAUUCAUUAGCAUAUUAUAUCUUUUUUUGGUAAGGAGCAUUUAUUAUAUCUAGCAUCACGUGAGAAUUAAGUUUCUUCGCCAAAAUUAGAGUUUCACCUCUCAAGGACAAACUAAGACCGUCAUUGGAACAAUAUCACUCUCUUUGUAAAAAUAAUUGUGUAAUAUAUAUUCUUGAAACUUAAACUAAAAUGACAUACCAAUGGAUGAUAAAAAUGUACUAUGUACCCUACUUUAUGAAAAUAUGUUUACAACAUAUUACAUUAAACUUCAACUCUUCUUAGAUUAAAUCCUAAAACAGAAAAUAUGAAAAAAUUGUGUUUCUAUACCAAAUAAAAUAAUUAAAAUUCACCGAAAGCAAUUCAAAUUAGAAGAAAGUAUGAAUUAUGAAAGCAACAAAGAAUAUAAAUUCUUAUAUGUAACCAACAAAUACGUUGAGCGAGAGCAAAAAAAUUUAUCCAAAGGGAAAAUAGGAAGAUGAUCGGGUGAUACAUUAUACAUAUUAAUCUUGAUUUCAUUUCCUAACCUUCCCUCCCCAAAAGCUUAAACUUCUUCAACAAUAUCUUUACCAAAGAAUGCAUUUUGUGAUGCUUCAAAAAUUAUGUACCUACAAAAAAGAAUAUAGCCAAGAAUUAGCAAAAAAUAAUCAAAUUAUAAAUAGAAUAAAAUAAAAACCGAAAAGUAUAGGCAAGAUACCAUAAUAAAGAACAUGGCACUAUUUUUUUAUUCCAAUGUUUCUUUAAAUAUUUUAAUGUUGGCAAUCAUUUUAAGUUCACUUUGUUUUGCAUCGUAUUUAUAGAAGUGGGGGAGGGUAUAAGAUGAGAGAAAGAAAGAAAUAAAAGAAAAACAAUAUAAUCAAAGAGAGAGAUAGGACGAGAGCAAAUGCCAAGUUAUGAUUUUAAAAUUUUAAAUACAUUGUUUUAAAGAGAUUCUAAUUCUAAUGGAGCUACUAAUAUAUUGAAAUAAUUGAAGCUAAAGGUAAAGCAUAGAAUAUAUAAGAGACUCUAAUAGAGCUACUAAUAUAUAGAAAUAAUUGAAGCUAAAGGUAAAGCAUAGAAUAUAAAUAGAGAUAGUAAGAGGAAAAGUGGGUGGGGUAACUGGGGUUUAAUGGAAAGUUAUUAUGUGAUAAUAACUUCUUUAAUGUAAAUAUCUUGAAUUUGAGAGAAUCCGGGUUCGAGCUUCACUAGUGUCUUUGGAGAGAGGUAAAUGUAAAUAUCUUUGUAAGUGCUCUUUGAGCCUGAAGGUCUUCUCUACCUUGGACUGGGGCACCAUCCCCUCAUCCUAAAAUUUUGUAAAAAAAAACGUGAGAGUUAUGUAGUUGAAAGGAAGAAGGAAAAAAAAUCAAGGGAGUGUGGUAGAUUUCCCAUAUUUAAUUAUUUAAUUAAUUGUUAAUUAAAUAAAGAAAAAAAAAACUAAAUUAUGUGUGUGUGAAAGUUAUGCAUUAGUGGGAGUAUUUUACAAUAGUUAGUGGGAGUCCUCUGCAUCAUUUACGCAUUUUGUUUACACAUAAAUCAAUGAUUUGUUGUGUUAUUAAUUAAAGAAUAUAAAAACACGUGAGUUGUUAUAUUUAUUAAUUGAGGUGAUCAAACAUCGUAUGUGGCAAAAAAAUUUACAUUACUGAUAUAUAUAUAUAUAAAUUAAACUGUCAUGGUGAGUUUAACUUAAUUGGUAUGGAUAAUGUAUAAAAUAUGUAAGGUUCGAGAAUCGAAUUCCGGCCACCACAAAAAAAAAAAUAUAAUUGCUAAACUCGUGAUAAAAUUAUGAGUUUAAUGAUGGUGGAUUGACGGUCUAAAACAAUUUUACAUACAAUGUGCAAAGUUGCAUCAAAUCACCAUCAUUAAACUCUAAAAUUAUGAAGCAUCUCAUUUUCAAAAAUAAGACUUUUGUAUUAUUGAAAAAAUAAAUUAGAUUUUGUAUCCAGCCUGUACCCGAAGUCAGCAUAUUUUCUAAAGCCGUUAAAAAAAGAAAACAUGUUUUAUAGAACUAAAAAACAUGGUACCAAAAAAAAAAAAGAACUAAAAAACAAUCAUUGCAAUAAGCCAAAUGAAAUAUCUAUGAAACGUGUGGUAACCGAAACCACCGCCCAACAUUAAAUCCAUAAAUACAAGACACGAUAACCAGAUAAUAACAAAAUCUCGUAGAUGAGUUGGUGGCUACCAAAAAUAAUUUAUGCAGGGCUUGGGAUUCGAACCCGGAUUCUCCACAGAUUAUGUGUGUGAAUUUAGUCACUAACCUAUUUGACAUGAUAGUAUAUAUUUUUGUUGGUUAGUGCUCUCGGCAUUCUUUAAACACUUUAAAUGAUAAGUUUCUUAUUAAAAAUUGUGUAUUUAAUACAUUAUAAAUUGUAACAAUUGACUUUUUAAAUGAAUAAUUACUGAAUUUAAAAUCCAUAAAAGUCUUUAAAAGCACCCCUUUUCAUUAUUUCAUAAAUACCAAGUUUUUGUGUACUGAUCUGAUCUCCAUAGAAAAACCUAAACGUGUUAAACAUAAAAGUUGUGGGUCCUUUCCUUUGGAUCGAAAUUUUUCCAUAUAUAGAUUCAAAUCCUAACCAUUUGCUUAAGGGUUCACAUUUUUUCUUUUUUUCAAAGAAGGGUCCACAUAUCUUAUCAUUUUUUUACGUGAUCAAUACGUUGUUAUUUGGAUACUAACUUAAUCAUUUAAUUAUCUGUAGAGAAGCUCAGAGUAAGAUAGUUCACAUGGCAGCAAGUGGCAUUUCAGAUGGCACAGCAACACAGAACACAGAACCUGAAAUGGAGAAGAAAUGGUGGAACAAAAUCUUGGACAUUAAGGAAGCCAAACAUCAACUCAUGUUUGCACUGCCAAUAAUUCUUACAACAAUAUUAUAUUACUCAAUUACUUUGGUUUCUGUCAUGCUUGUUGGUCAUCUUGGUGAGCUUCAGUUAGCCGGUGCUACUCUUGCUAACUCGUGGUUUGGUGUCACUGCCGUCGGGGUUAUGGUAAUUUACUAUUUUUAACAUCCGGUCUCGGAUAUAAGCAAUUUGUUCAAAGAAAGUUAUCAUGUAUCUUAGGUUUCAUCAACUUUCUUUUGAUAUUAAACUUUUGCUUAUAUUUAAAAGGGAAAUAUUAACUAUUGCCCCAGGGCGCUGGUUAAGGACCAUAAAAAGUAACUUUUUAUGAAAGUUUGUAUAAUCAGUGCAUUAGAAAUUGAAAACUUUCACAUUUUUAAAAAAUAAUUACUUAAUUUAGCAUUCUAUUUAACACUCGUUAACAAAAUCCUAUUUAAAACCAUAAUAAUGCUUAUGUAAGAAUUGAUAAACAUACUUAUGUUGUUUUAAGUUCUUCGCUUUUAUGUAGAUUUAUGGGUUAGGUAUAUGUCCUCCUAUUUUUUUAUGCAUUUUUUUUUAAUAAUAUAUACGAGCACAAAUAAUUAGAGUCUAGUUGAGACAUCUUCUAUUCUUUUUAAUAUCAUUGUGCUCUUAAUUUUAAAAAAAUAAAAUGAAUUGAUGGUCGAAUGAACAAUUGUAUAUAAAUUUGACAUGCUUUAUUUUGUUUGUUUAGUAUUUGCACUAUAAAAACUUAAUAUUGUAUUAUAUCAUUGUUUGAUCUACGUAGAUGAUUGAUUCCAUCUCUUCAAUCGUAAUUUUUUGAAUAUUUAAUAUAUAACUUUUAGUCCACUAUAAUAUUAGUGUUUUCCAAACACAUGUUUAGCAUUUAAAUAUCCAUAAGCUAGUAAGGGUAUUUUAACGUUGAAAAAUGUUAGCAACACACAUUCUAUCACACACUUUUCAACACACUUUCUUUGAUCGGUUAAAAUUCACAUUAGACCCACCAAGUUUAUAUGGGACCCACAUAAUUUAGUGGGACCCAAGUGAUUUUUAACCAAUCAAAAAGAGUGUGUUGAAAAUUAUGUGACGCUAGCAUUUUUUUUAAAUGUUUAGUAUUUACCCGUUUAGCUCAUUUGUCUUUUGAAACAUGUAUAAGACUAAGGUCAUGUUGUUUGCCUAGGUUGGUUUAAGUGGUGCACUGGACACACUCUGCGGACAAGCAUUUGGUGCAAAAGAAUAUCACAUGUUAGGAAUUUAUCUACAAAGCUCUUGCAUUAUAUCUUUUAUUUUUUCCAUCAUUAUAUCAAUUAUUUGGUUCUAUACAGAACCCAUUCUAGUGUUACUUCAUCAAUCACAAGACAUUGCUAGAACAGCAGCACUCUAUAUGAAGUUUCUUAUACCAGGAUUAUUUGCAUAUAGCAUCUUGAGAAACAUGUUGAGGUUUCUACUAACACAAUCUGUAGUGAUGCCACUGGUUGUCUUUUCAGCUAUCCCAGCAAUUGUUCAUGUUGGUAUUGCAUAUGGAUUUGUUCAUUGGUCAGGUCUUAAUUUCAAAGGUGGACCAGUUGCAACUUCUAUUUCACUAUGGAUAUCUAUGAUAUUAGUAGGUUUUUAUAUCUUGUAUGCAAAGAAGUUUAAGAAUACAUGGAGGGGAUUUUCAAUGCAAUCAUUUCAGUACUUGUUUACAAACUUGAAACUAGCUCUUCCCUCUGCAGCAAUGCUAUGGUAUGAGUUUCUAAAAGCCUUUCACUUUUUUUGUCCCUUUUGAUGGUUGAUCUUAGAAAGCAUAUUUUGCCUAAAGCAUAUUUCUGCCUUAAUUGUGUUUCACACUAGCUGCCUAAUUGUGACGUCCGGACUGCAUUCAUUGCAGCGUCCAUUGCGUUCAUUGUUAGGAUGUAAAGGGGUGGAUUUAGUUCCACAUUUCUUAGAGAUAUGGCCUAAGUAGAGCUUAUAAAGUUUGGAUAGUUUUCAUCUUACAAGUCAGUUUUGUAAGAUUAAGGUCUAAUCCUAAUUUUAAGAUGGUAUCAGAAUCUAUCAUAGAUUUGUUGUUGGGCUUCUUCUAUCGUACAUGCUUCAUGUCUGAGCAUGAGAGGUGUGUUGGAAGUUCCGCCUGAAUUAACGUUAAUCCAUAGAUGUCUAAUUGCGGCAUUUGGGUUGUCUCCAUUGCAUCCUUCAGCACCUUCAUUAUGUUGGGUGUGAGGAGGUGAAUUUAGAUCCACAUUGUCUAGUAGAGAUAAGAGUUAAGGAGUGCGCAUAAAGUUUGGACAAUCCUCGUCUUACAUGUCAGAUUCGUAGAAUUGAAUUAAGUUCAACUCAAGUUUAAAGAACUACCAUACAUAUGUUUAAUUUAAGAUAAGAUCCUUAUAUUUAUGAAUCUUACUAUUUUAUAUUUUGCAAGUUUGGAGUCUUUGGCCUUUGAAGUUUUGGUUUUCUUAGCUGGAUUAAUGCCAGACUCACAAAUAACAACUUCAUUGAUUGCAAUAUGGUAUGAUCCUUAUAUCUUUAUAUUUCUGUCACUGAAAUGUAGAUAAUAAAUAUUCAUAUGAUUCACUAUUGUAAUUCUUCAAAAACUAAAAAUUGUGCAGUGCAAACACAGAACUCACCGCUUACCUGAUCAUUUAUGGUCUUAGUGCAGCCGCAAGGUUAGUUGGUCUACGUUAACAUACUCUCUUUUGCCGACAUUUUUGUAUAUUCCCUUCUAGACCUAAAUUUCCUAUAGUCUAGGAAAGCACAUAGUCAAGAGAUCUUGAUCGUUAAAUGAAGAUCGAUGACUCAUAUAUUAACUUUACCAAAUCAACUUUAAAAUAUGAGACAUCCACUUCUCAUCCAACGAUCGAGAUCCCUGACAACGUUAUUGUGUGACUGCAAGCAAUCAAAUUUCCUUCAUAGAGGCAUUUUAUUGAAACUUGAACUUUUAUAGCACAAGGGUUUCCAAUGAACUUGGGGCAGGCCAACCAGAAAGAGCCAAACAUGCAAUGAGAGUCAGUCUAAAGCUCUCUAUCCUCCUUGGAUUCUGUUUUGCGUUGAUGAUUGUAUUUGGUCAUGGUAUAUGGAUUCGGCUGUUUAGCAGUAGUCCUACAAUCAAACAUGAGUUUGCUUCAAUAGCACCCUUCCUUGCUAUUUCCAUACUACUUGAUUCUGUCCAAGGUGUCUUAUCAGGUUUGAAUUUAUCAUCUCAUUUAACUUAAGGUUUCUCACCAACAUGAUCAUUAACAAAAAAAAUCUUAGGGGGUAAAUGUCUUAAAUACUGCAGGGGUGGUUAGAGCAUGCGGUUGGCAGCAAGUUGCUGUUUACGUCAACCUUGCAACUUUUUAUUUCAUUGGUUUACCAAUUUCAUGUAUCCUUGGAUUUAAGACCAAUUUGCAAUAUAAGGUAAAAAAAUUAUUUCACAAAAUCACAAUUUAAAUAUGUUGUCAUUUUACAAAUAAAAUGUUAAUGGUCAAUUUAUUAGCAGUAGGAACUUAAUACUCUUUAUUUUGUAUUCUUUUUUUAAUCAUUGUGCUUUUUAAUUAUGAUAUAGGGUUUAUGGAUUGGUCUGAUUUGUGGGCUGGCAUGUCAAACUGGGACACUCUUACUUUUGACAAGAUAUGCAAAAUGGACUAAACUGAAUCUCUCAGGAGACAAAGAUAAAGAUCAACCUGUUGUUGUUUUAACGACUGAAUGCAUGCCAAUUAGGACUGAAUAAGCUUGUGUUUGGAACCACAGUGACAGCUCCUUUGAUGCACGGCGUGAGCGAAACUAUAACUUGGAGCUUUAGACUCAACGUGUGGAGAAAACUCUUUGUAUGUGGAAGCUAACACAGGCUAAAAAAUGGUUACAUGUUGUAAUUAACAUGAUUUUCCUAUCUAAAAACGUUUCUUGUUCCUAUUCAUUUAGAGAAAAUGGAAACACUGUUUUCUAAGGGGUGUUGGUGAGUUGUGUACAUUAAUAUUGACAUACCGACAUACAUGAUGUAACAAAAUGCUAGAAUUUCAAGAAUUUCAAAAGGGGUGCAUAAUUCUUAACAUAUAUCAUGGGAUUGAAAAAAAGAAACAUAAAUUGAUAAAUAUAAGCAAGUAUACCAAACCAGACAUUGAAAUUUAUAGAUAUUUUCUUGCCUUACCAUUACGAAAACCUUCCUUACGACCUUCAAAUCCAGGCCGUAAUAGCUUCUUCUCUCUCUUUGCAAUCUUCCUCAGUUUCUUAUCAUUAAUCCUCUCAGCUAUAUUUGCAAACCUUUUUUUGUUGUUUCUCUGCCUUCAACUGAUCCCUUGAUUGAACCCUCUCUUCCCAUUUCUCUGCAUUUUUAUGUUGCCUCUUCUUCCUUUUCUGUACUUUUCCUUAUCAAUUUAGGAUCAUCAUGAUUCAUGAACCUUAAUUCCCGAAGCUCUCUUUGUUACUACUUUCCAUGCUUCCUUCUUAGCAAUAGCUUCACCCUUCUCAGAAUCAUUCUUCUUCACUUCCUCUAACAUCUUAGCUCUUUCAAGUUCCUUAUGCUUCAAAACUUUUCUCUUCUACCCUUGCAUGUAACCAUCCUCAAGUUUAACAUUGCCGAACAUAAGCUCCUUGGAAGCCUCUGUGGCAUCCUUUAUCACCUUCUCCGUCAAGUCACCAGUUGUCGGCUUACUUUCAUCUGUCUCAUAAGCUCCUGAAAUUCUUUGAGAAGGUCAAGUGUUGUAGCAGCUGGUUUGUUAGGGGUCUAAACGGUCUCUCCGAAACUUCAUAAUGUUGUCUAUCGUUUUUCUCUUUGCCUUACCUUAGACCCUGAAACCAUGGCUUCUCGUUAUCAUCGUUGACAGAUAAACUUAGGUGGAAUAAGCUCGAUCAAUUUGUCAAAAAAAUGGGCAUUCUCAUGGAUCAUAGACUCCAAGUCUUGACAAACACCAAGAUACACAACACCCUUUUGCUUCUCAAUCUCCAUCAUUCCAGAAUCUCAUUGUAACAGCAUGAGAGAAUAAAAACCUUGUACUGACAAAAUUCCAAAAUAUAUGUCACAAGUCACAACAACAACACAUGUAAUUACAUUCGAAUAUUUUGAACCUUUCAGCACUUCAUUAUUCAAUGUUAUUCCCAAAUUAUUAUUGUUGUUGACGUGUUAAUGUUAGUAUGAUGUAACAUUGAUUCUCGCUUAAGUGCAUUAUAAGAACAAGUCAUAGGAGUGGAUUUAAUAUUAUAGGAAUCACCGUUUCUCCACUUUUUAAUCGAAAUUAGCAAUCGACAUAAACAACAAAUAAUAUAA
rnacentral:lncRNA from 1 species